UACGUAGGGGGCAAGCGUUGUCCGGAAUCAUUGGGCGUAAAGAGCGUGUAGGCGGCCAGGUAGGUCUGCUGUGAAAACUCGAGGCUUAACCUCGAGCUGUCGGCGGAAACCAUCUGGCUAGAGUCCGGAAGAGGAGAAUGGAAUUCCUGGUGUAGCGGUGAAAUGCGCAGAUAUCAGGAAGAACACCCGUGGCGAAGGCGGCUCUCUGGGACGGUACUGACGCUGAGACGCGAAAGCGUGGGGAGCGAACAGG
rnacentral:rRNA from 1 species